GUCUACGGCCAUACCACCCUGAACGCGCCCGAUCUCGUCUGAUCUUGGAAGCUAAGCAGGGUCGGGCCUGGUUAGUACUUGGAUGGGAGAUA
rnacentral:rRNA from 1 species